UCAAGAACGAACGCUGGGCGGCGCGUCUUAAACAUGCAAGUCGAACGAUCUGUAGCAAUACAGGGAGUGGCGGACGGGUGAGGAACACGUAGGAAUCUACCUUGAAGAGCGGGACAACUUUGGGAAACCGGGGCUAAUACCGCAUAGUACAGAGAUGUUAAAGGGCUAGCAAUAGUCGCUUCGAGAUGAGCCUGCGGUCUAUCAGCUUGUUGGUGAGGUAAUGGCUCACCAAGGCUACGACGGAUAGCCGGUCUGAGAGGAUGAUCGGCCACACUGGCACUGAGACACGGGCCAGACUCCUACGGGGAGGCAGCAGUUAAGAAUCUUGCGCAAUGGGGGAAACCCUGACGCAGCGACGCCGCGUGAAGGAUGAAGGCUUUCGGGUUGUAAACUUCGGUAGACUGGGAAGAAGAAAUACGUUCGUUGAGGGCGUAUAGUGACGGUACCAGUCUGAAGCCCCGGCUAAUUACGUG
rnacentral:rRNA from 1 species